rnacentral:rRNA from 1 species
UGCUUAACACAUGCAAGUCGAACGCUGAAGCUUGGUGCUUGCACCGGGUGGAUGAGUGGCGAACGGGUGAGUAAUACGUGAGUGACCUACCUUGGACUCUGGGAUAAGCCUGGGAAACUGGGUCUAAUACCGGAUAUGACCAAUGGGCGCAUGCUCUGUUGGUGGAAAGGGUUUGUACUGGUCUUUGAUGGGCUCACGGCCUAUCAGCUUGUUGGUGAGGUAAUGGCUUACCAAGGCGACGACGGGUAGCCGGCCUGAGAGGGUGACCGGCCACACUGGGACUGAGACACGGCCCAGACUCCUACGGGAGGCAGCAGUGGGGAAUAUUGCACAAUGGGCGCAAGCCUGAUGCAGCGACGCCGCGUGAGGGAUGACGGCCUUCGGGUUGUAAACCUCUUUCAGCAGGGAAGAAGCGAAAGUGACGGUACCUGCAGAAGAAGCGCCGGCUAACUACGUGCCAGCAGCCGCGGUAAUACGUAGGGCGCAAGCGUUGUCCGGAAUUAUUGGGCGUAAAGAGCUCGUAGGCGGUUUGUCGCGUCUGCUGUGAAAGCCCGGGGCUUAACCCCGGGUGUGCAGUGGGU